CUCCACUCUCCAUAACAAACUCCAUGUGGCCCUGAACAGCCCCCUGACACCACUACUCUCCGUAACAAACUCCGCGUGGCCCCGAACGGCCCACUGCCAGGCAGUUACAGACAUUGCUGUCAAUCAGUUACGCUCUCCGUCUAUAAAAAGGGACCUCCAGAUACGUUCUUCUCUAAGCUCUAAACUCUAUCUCGAAACUCUGCUAAAAUCUCAUUCGAGUGCUCCAUUUCUGUUGAGGCAGAGUACUGACUUGAGC
rnacentral:lncRNA from 1 species